GUUUAUGAAUUAUUUGGUGAUUUGAAGGUAAUAAUGGGAAAGUGAUGGAUUAUUUACUCUCCCAUUGGCUUACCAGAGCUCUGCUGAUGUAAUGGCGAUGAGUUUGGAUGACGUCAUCUAUCUCCCUAGCACGUUUAAGGGCUUUGGUGCCUAUGUUCUUUUUUUUACCUCGUCAAGACACUUUAUCACUUUCUUAUUACAAUCCAAGACACAUUGCACUUGGGACACACUUUAUUGUGUGCAAAAUACAUUAAUACCCUUUGAUCAAAAAGACGACCAGUUUCAUGGUAACAAGAGUUAUCCAGACAACACCUGAUCAAACUCAAACUCUGCCUUUACCAAAUUACAAACCUAAUUCCAAUUAAAAUCACAACUACUCGACUCUCAUCUCAGUCUCAGUCUCAGUCUCGACGAAGAUUAAGAACCGUAGUUUCUCCGAAAGGAACCGACUUUUUCGUUGUUUCUAAUCGAUUCAAGAGAAAUACCCAUUACCCAAUUCCAAUCCAGAUUCUGCACAUCAUUCCUAAUUCAUAUCCUCACCGCAUGUAACCUCGAGAGCGAUGUGUAUUUGUUUUUAUGUUUCGUUGUUUUAUACCAGAAACUCAGAUGUGUUUGUUACAGGUGGAAGAAGACAAGCUAUGGUUUGUUUCUUGGAGUUUAAUUUCAUAAAUCUGAAGGGUCAUAAAUCUAAUAUCUUGUAUAUAAGCCCAAAAAUCAUUUUCAGCUUCUUCUUCUUCUUUUGGUUCUUGCUUUGAGAUUACUGCAAAGUAAGUUUUAUUUUUUAUGUUUCAGUUAAUUAAUGAUCUUACUUUCUUUCUUUGGGUAAAAGGUGUUAUUUGGAGAUGGAAUUUCAAGACAAAAAAAUACAUAGCAAGAGCACAAUCAAUCUAAGAGGUUUGGUCUUUAGAACUUGGUACACAACUCUUACGUGAAUGGUGAUUUGGCUGUUGGAGCUUUGUUGAGAUUCCACAUCCUCUGGUCAUUUUAUCAGGACUGGAGCUUGCUUUAGUGAUCAGAGAGAAGGCUAGAGAUGUACAUGAGUCUCCAUCCAUAGAUUUUUAAUGUUUCUCGAUUCAUGGGUUGUCUUUAACAAAACCGUGUUCAAAUCUUUGUAUUCUCCACGUUAUGUCCAUUGUCCACAACUUUUGUUUUGUUGUCAAUUAAACUAACUUUUUCGUUUGUUUAACUUUGUUUUUCAUCAUUCAAGCUUUAUUGUUCUUGUGGACAUGUUCGUGUGAACAUGUUCGUGGACAUGUACAUUGUUGUUUUUGGUUUGAAGUUGUUAAGAUCUUUAUCA